rnacentral:snRNA from 1 species
UUUACAGAUUUUUUAUUAUU